rnacentral:lncRNA from 1 species
AUGAGUACGCGCCCGCCUGGGUCCACGCACGCACGUGCGCCCUGGAAUAACAGCUGUUGCACAGGGGGCCCCAGGCCCCGCGGCCAGAGGCCCUGGUUCCAGGCCCAGCAGCCAGGCGCCGUGACCUUGGGCGCAUCCCCGCCCCGACUCAGGGCCCGGAACCCUGCGUCCCGGGGGAGGGAGGACGCGCAUGGAGGGAAGCGCGCGCGGCAGGCCGCCAGCCGGCGGGUCCCGGGCCGGCCCGCAGCCCUGCCCCGGCGGACUCCAAGGGGCGCGGACCCUCGCCGCCCGCAGUGUUUACAUUCCCCCGGCGCAGGCCACGCGGCUUUCCCCCGCUCCAGCGCCGCCGACCCCGCCCCCGGCCGCGCGCGCCAGGCCGCCCAGCCCCGCCCCGCGGGUGCGCAGGCCCCGUCCCGCCGCCCGGGCCCCUCCUGGCCCCGCCCCGCCCCGCCGGCCCCGCCUGGCCCCGCCCACACCGCCCAGGGCCCCGCCCAUUCCCCGCCCCCGGCCCCGCCCCCGCGGCCGAGCGCCCCGGCUGGCCUGCGCGGCGGGGCGGGCCGGGGCGGUGCGGGGCGGGCUCGCGGCCGCAGGCGGGGCGGGGCGGAGGGUGGCGGGAGGGCGCGAGGGCGGGCCGGGCCGGUUCCGCGCGCAGGAGUUUUAAAUGUCCCGCUCUCGGCCGGGCGCAGGAGCAGCCGGCUCGGCCGCCCGCGCGGUGUAGGGGGCAGGCGCGGAUCCGCGCGCGCCUACCGCUUCCCGCCCGGCCGCCGGCGCGUGCCGCCUACCUGCCGCGCAGAGGCUUCGGUGAGGGCCGCCGGGCGCGGGUGCGGCGGCGACGGCUCCCGGGCGCCGGGCCGCCGGGCCGCCGGGUGGGGGUGGGGCGAGGCCGGUCGUCGGGUCCCGGGCGUCAGCGCGGGGUGCCCGGCCCGGCGGCGCGGGGACGGGCCGGGGGAGGGGUGGAGGGGCGGAUGGGGGCCGCCGGCCCCGAGGGAGGCGAUGGGCCGGCGGGGCUCUCGGGGGGCGUGCGGGCCCCGGCCCGGGUUGGGACCCGGCAUCGCGGGCUGCCGGCGGCGCCGCGGGUGA